AUUGAACGCUGGCGGCAUGCUUUACACAUGCAAGUCGAACGGUAACAGGGUGCUUGCACCGCUGACGAGUGGCGAACGGGUGAGUAAUGCGUCGGAACGCACCGAGUAAUGGGGGAUAACGCAGCGAAAGUUGUGCUAAUACCGCAUUCGCUCUGAGGAGGAAAGCGGGGGACCUUCGGGCCUCGCGUUAUUCGAGCGGCCGACGUCUGAUUAGCUAGUAGGUGAGGUAAGAGCUCACCUAGGCGACGAUCAGUAGCGGGUCUGAGAGGAUGGUCCGCCGGACUGGGACUGCGACACGGCCCAGACUCCUACGGGAGGCAGCAGUGGGGAAUUUUGGACAAUGGGCGCAAGCCUGAUCCAGCCAUGCCGCGUGUCUGAAGAAGGACUUCGGGUUGUAAAGGACUUUUGUCAGGGAGGAAAUCCCUAAGGUUAAUACCCUUGGGGGAUGACAGUACCUGAAGAAUAAGCACCGGCUAACUACGUGCCAGCCGCCGCAGUAA
rnacentral:rRNA from 1 species